CCCCUCCCGCCCGUUCUCGCGGGAGUUGGCGACCUCGCGGGAUCAGGGGCGUUGGCACAAGCCCAGCCGCGGCUUAAACACGCCUGAGCGGUACGGUACGGCACGGGCCGGGCGGGGGAGCGGGCAACCAGCAGGGCCUGGGAAGCACCCCCAGAGCACAGGCAGAGCCAUGAGGUGUCCGUGCACAGGCUUCCCUCGUUCAGUGCGUGCGAAUUCACUCUUCCGCAGUGACCCUUUUUAUGCCAAGAAUCGGCUGUGUGCGAGCACAGAAAUUUACUGCACUGCUGGAUACCACUUGUAGAAUCAGAGAGCUGGAAGAGACUCCAAAGGAUCAUUGGGACCAGCCCCCUGAAUGAGCAGCAAAGACAUCUGGGGUCAGAUGACCCCAACCAGGUGACCGCCUAAUCUUCUCUUGAAGACCUCCAAGGAACAGAACAACUCAUCCAGAUCAGUUGCUUGGCUCACACAAUUGAGCACCCUGAUUGUGGCCAGUACCAGCUAUUUCAGAGGAAGGUGCAAAAGGUCCUGGUGCAAGGACUUACAAGAUACCCCCCCGUAAUGAAAGUCCCAUCCUAAUCCCUAUCUGCGAGAGGUCAGCUGAGCUCUGGACCAUGAAGAGGGAAGCUUUCUGUUCCUUACAAAUUAUAUUUUGCAUUCUUUUGUUUGGGUGUUGCCAUGCUUUGCUCAAAGCAGCAUUUAGUUUGUAUAAUGUACUGUAUCUGUCCUCCCCUCUACCCCCACUUAUAAUCUUACAAGGUCUUUGCUUCCAUUACAGUUGGUGGCAAUGCAUUCCCCUGCCAAGAGUGUGUUGUUUACCCACAUAUCUCUUUCAAUCAGUUUGAAGGUUGCUGCCUUUCAGUUUCUUUGAAAAUGGCCAUGGUGCUUAUUUCUGGAGUAGCCAUGAAUAAAAGCUCCCAAUCCACCUUC